UACGGGGGGGAGCAAGCGUUGUUCGGAUUUACUGGGCGUAAAGGGCGCGUAGGCGGCCACCGCAAGUCGACUAUGAAAUCUCCGGGCUUAACCCGGAAAGGUCAGCCGAUACUGCGGGGCUAGAGUGCAGAAGGGGCAACUGGAAUUCUCGGUGUAGCGGUGAAAUGCGUAGAUAUCGAGAGGAACACCUGCGGCGAAGGCGGGUUGCUGGGCUGACACUGACGCUGAUGCGCGAAAGCUAGGGGAGCGAACGGG
rnacentral:rRNA from 1 species